ACGAACGCUGGCGGCGUGCUUAACACAUGCAAGUCGAACGCUUGAGUCCUUCGGGGCAAGAGAGUGGCGCACGGGUGAGUAAUGAAUAGGAACGUACCUAUAGGUGGGGAACAACUCAGGGAAACUUGAGCUAAUACCGCAUGAUGUCGCAAGACCAAAGGGGGCCUCUCCUUGGAAGCUCCCGCCAAUAGAUCGGCCUAUUUCCCAUUAGCUAGUUGGUAAGGUAAUGGCUUACCAAGGCGACGAUGGGUAGCUGGUCUGAGAGGAUGAUCAGCCACACUGGAACUGAGACACGGUCCAGACUCCUACGGGAGGCAGCAGUGGGGAAUUUUGCACAAUGGGCGAAAGCCUGAUGCAGCAACGCCGCGUGAGUGAAGAAGGCCCUUGGGUCGUAAAGCUCUUUCGGCUAGAAAGAAGGGUUUGUAGCUUAAGAAGUAGCAGAUCUGACGGUACUAGAAGAAGAAGCACUGGCUAAUUCCGU
rnacentral:rRNA from 1 species